GGUCGCUGACCGAGAUGUCUGGGUGCGACAAAGAUUGCGCCCAGAUAAACAAGUCAGACUCGCACUCGGUAGUGAGUGAUGGGCGACAAAAGGCAAGGCCAACACAAAGGGGCAUUUUUGUUAUCGAAAAGCCCUUGAAGCAACUAAAGCUAAAGAACCUGAGGUUAGCUAAAAAUCAUCUGGCUUGCUCAGAAGGUCUGUUUGGGUGUUUCGUGUUCGCAGGGCAGCACCUGUUGUACUGUUCUGCCUGUAGCCGUUUACCCUCACACCUCCAUUUUCAAAAACAUUUUCCUGGCAUGGAGAAUUUGUUGGUGAUUUGGCUGGCUAGAGGUGGCAGUACUCAUCUGCACGUGACAUUUAUGAAUGUUUUCCAACAGCAUCUACCAGAUAUCAGGAACAAGGGAAAGGAAGGCACCAAAGUUAAAGCUAAGAGUUCCAGUUUGAAUAUCUACUUUUCUGGAUUCUGGAAAAUUACGGUAUAAACAGGGUGAUUCAAAAAGAAUUGCACCUUGGCCACCCAGAUCCUCAGAUGUCUCACUUUGCAACUUCCUUCAGACAGAAUACCUCCGGAACCUCACAUCUGUACUGCACCUUCAUUUUUUUUCAACCUUCAAAAAAUGAAGAAUCUUGUCCUGGCUGCCAUUUCAGUUGUCAAAGUCUAGGUUUCAGGAACCGGACAUGAAUCUCUGUGUGACUGAAAUGAACCACCUGUUGUCUUCAAAUGGAAGUGAAGAAAAGGUCGAGUUUUUCCUGGCUCCUGGAGUGCCCUCCCCCACCGCAUGGUCUACUUGACAGGUUUUAAGACUUGGCUGAAGUGGAAUAGCCUCUGUGAAGACUUCCUUGAUGUCACCUUCCUUCUGGGUAAAUUAUCACACGAAAGACCAGAGGCAGCUGCAUCAGACAGGUUGGAAAAGUAUGCAUUUAUUUCUAAAGAGAAUGAACCUAUUAAGAAAGUUUGAAAAAUGGUGCAAAAGAAAUAUAUACCAUCAAUCAAGACUAUGUAUUAACUUUGAGUAAUUGUAGUCUGAAAUCCACAUUCCUGGAGCAAAGAAGUGACAUACCUGCCGUAGAUCAAUGUAAACAUGGAGACAGAACAAUGAGAGCCUGUACAAUAAACGAAGAGGAAGAUUGGUACCAGAUCAAAACAUUUCCCUCAUCUGCCUGCAGUUUAAUCUGGGAAGAACUGGAAUUAAGUUCUGGACCACACCAUGUUUAUGACUGACUACUUAUUAAUUGUAUUUAAAUGUGUCAUAAAGUUAAAUGUGUAGUAAACUAUAUGAAUUUUAUUUCAUAUUUUGAGUUUUUUGAUUUAUAACUACUAAUUCCUUCUAUCAUGAUAAAGUUGUGGGUUGAAAGUACCCAUUCGAUAUUACGAAAGGUAAAUACCACAAUCAGUAGAUCAGAGUGGUGGUUACAAUCAAGAUUCUAGUGACCAAAGUCAGACCAGUUGGGUCCGCAGUAUGCUUUAUAGACUAGUAUCUCUGUAGGACCUGUUACUCUUUGAAUAUUUAUUCAAUAAUUGAAUAAUUCAAUGUUCAAUUGAAUAAUUCAGUAACUGAAGGUCUAAGCGUCAGGCAUUGUUUUGAUCUUAUAACCUUCUCAAGAAUCUAUGAAUUAAGUUGUAAUUUCUCCACUUAAGGAUAAUGAAGCUGAAGCUUAGGAAGGUUUAAGUACCUUCACCAGCCAACAAGAAGAGCGCUCAAGAUCCAAACCUAGUUCGUUCCAAAGUAAAGCUCGGUCUUAACUACCGUGCAGGUCUGUUUCUGUGCUACAUCUCUGGAUGAUUUCAUUUCAGGGCAUUUGUGUCUGAAUUGAGGAUAAUCUUUUGCACCAAAUUGAUACAGAUUUUGAUGGUAAUCUGUGUAUCAUGAAUCAUGGUUAGUCACAGAAAUUAUUUGUUCACUUUGUAAUUGUUACACCUUAAACUCUUUAAUGAAAAUGAGUUUAAUGAAAUGGCUGAUAGUAAUAUUUGAGGCCUAAUUGUCAGCUUGGGCAGGUGGACCACAGGCUUGGUAUUUAAUCACAUAAUGUGCCUUUGUGAAAACAGAACAGUUGUAAGACCGGCAUCAGCAAUUCCUGAGGGAGGAUUCCAAGAAGCAGCUAAGAAGACCUUGAAAAUUCCCCUGGGUAUUAUGGAUUUCAUUUUAAGUGAAAAUGCAAAGCAAUUAAAUUUCUUGUAACUGAAUUCCUUAAUUAUACACAGUUUCUAUUGCUCAUUUUUUAGUUAAAAGUUGACCUUGAUUUCUUGGAAAUAUGUAAAAAUAUAGUUGCAAAUGGAAAAAGACUGGAAGAUAAUAUACAAGAAAAAAUAUUUUUGGUCUUAGGAUAGUAGGAGAGCUAGGAUGA